rnacentral:ncRNA from 2 species
GGUCAUGAGUGCCAGCGUCAAGCCCCGGCUCGCUGGACGGCAACCCUCCAACCGCGGUGGGGUGCCCCGGGUGAUGACCAGGUUUCCCGACGUGGAACUGCGCACGCAGUUCCACCGCAAUUCGGGUGACAAGCGCGGGUC